AAACCAGCACCUCAAGUGGUCAGGAGGAUUAUUGGGCCUAAAGCAUCCGUAGCCUGUUCUAUAAGUUUCCGGUUAAAUCCACUAGCUCAACAUACAGGCCGCCGGGAAUACUGCAGAGCUAGGGAGUGGGAGAGGUCAGCGGUAUUCCUGGGGUAGGGGCGAAAUCCAUUGAUCCCAGGAGGACCACCAGUGGCGAAGGCUGCUGUCCAGAACACGCCUGACGGUCAGGGACGAAAGCUGGGGUAGCGAAUCGGAUUAGAUACCCGAGUAGUCC
rnacentral:rRNA from 1 species